rnacentral:rRNA from 1 species
UCUCUCGCACUCCACUACGAAAAGAUCCUGGCUCAGGACUUAUCUCGCCGGCGUGCCUAACACAUGCAAGUCGCACGGGACCAGCAAUGGUUCAGUGGCGGACGGGUGCGUAACACGUGAGGAACAUGCCUAUCGGCGGGGGAUAGCCGGCCCAACGGCCGGGUAAUACCGCGUACGCUCACUGGGGGGCAUCCCCUGGUGAGGAAAGCAGCAAUGCACCGAUAGAGUGCCUCGCGGCCUAUCAGCUAGUUGGUGAGGUAAUGGCUCACCAAGGCACGACGGGUAGCUGGUCUGAGAGGAUGAUCAGCCACAUUGGGACUGAGACACGGCCCAGACUCCUACGGGAGGCAGCAGUGGGGAAUCUUGCGCAAUGGCCGAAAGGCUGACGCAGCGACGCCGCGUGUGGGAUGACGGCCCUUCGGGUUGUAAACCACUGUCGGAAGGGACGAAUGGUCUCUCUAUGGCAGUGACGGUACCUUCAAAGGAAGCACCGGCUAACUCCGUGCCAGCAGCCGCGGUAUACGGAGGGUGCCGAGCGUUGUCCUGAAUCACUGGGCGUAAGGGCGCGUAGGCGCCCGGUAAGUAGGGGGUGGAAUCUGCGGCUUAACCGCAAGGCUGCCUUCUAACUUGCAAGCUUGGGACAAGUAAGGCAGUGGAAAUCCCGGGUGAACCCGUGAUGCUAAA